rnacentral:rRNA from 1 species
UACGGAGGGUGCGAGCGUUAUCCGGAAUCAUUGGGCGUAAAGGGCGCGUAGGCGGCUUCUCAAGUGUGCGGUGAAAGUCAGGGGCUCAACCCCUGAUCGGCCGUGCGAACUGGGGGGCUGGAGCACUGUAGAGGCAGGCGGAAUUCCGGGUGUAGCGGUGGAAUGCGUAGAGAUCCGGAAGAACACCGGUGGCGAAGGCGGCCUGCUGGGCAGUGGCUGACGCUGAGGCGCGACAGCGUGGGGAGCAAACAGG